rnacentral:rRNA from 1 species
GACGAACGCUGGCGGCGUGCUUAACACAUGCAAGUCGAACGGAAAGGCCCCUUUGGGGGUACUCGAGUGGCGAACGGGUGAGUAACACGUGAGUAACCUGCCCUUGACUUCGGGAUAACUUCAGGAAACUGGGGCUAAUACCGGAUAGGAAUCCUUGCUGCAUGGUGGGGGUUGGAAAGCUUCGGCGGUUUUGGCUGGACUCGCGGCUUAUCAGCUUGUUGGUGGGGUAGUGGCUUACCAAGGCUUUGGCGGGUAGCCGGCCUGAGAGGGCGACCGGCCACAUUGGGACUGAGAGACGGCCCAGACGCCGACGGGAGGCAGCAGUGGGGAAUAUUGCACAAUGGGCGGAAGCCGGAUGCAGCAACGCCGCGGGCGGGAUGACGGCCUUCGGGUUGUAAACCGCUUUCAGCAGGGGCGAAGCUUGUGGUGACGGUACCUGCAGAAGAAGCACCGGCUAACUACGUG